AUGUGGAUGUGUAUGCAUGAGAAAAAAUAUAUAGGCUACAGCAAAUGUAUUAGUCUACACAGAUGUAAAAUGAAUAGUUUCGUCUUUUUAACACAGUAUAUUGGAUUGUUGUCAUAUGCUGUCUCUUGUCAUCUUGUAUAAGGAUGAUUCUUGUCCAACUUUCGCUUUCGUUACCUUCGAAUCAAAACCAGUCGAUCAGGUUGAACUGUGCAGUACAGAGGUCGAAAGCUCACACUUUACACAGCUCUCGCUUUUCGUUUUCUUUCAGCUGGUCUUUGGAGAUUUUCCCACAGUCAUGUCAGAGGAACAGGAUGAUUCAAUGGAAUUUGAUGAAUCUGGACAUCCACAAUCCACCAAUUUGUCAACCAGUGCUGAUGAAGAUAUGGAGGAUGUAAGUCAGGAUUCUAAUGCUCCGGGAGCAUUCUUCCUAAGUCAGCAGGCCCUACAUUCAUCAAGCAGUGCUGAUCCUCAUUUGAUACAAGACAACAUUCAAUCUUCUAAUGCUCAGGAUUCCAGCUCUGUAAUCAGUACACAACCUACCAGCAUCAAUACACAAGACCAUCUCAAAACUGAACAUGAUGAUAAGCAGACUCUGCAUUCAUCAAGCAGUGAUAAUCAUCAAAUGAUGCAAAACAGUCAGCUUUCUGAUGAUGAUGACAAAUGUACAGCUGAGGAUGAAAGGCCUCAAUCAUCAGAAUCACAAGAUAGUGCUAAAUUUAAAAUCAAAGUGGAUGAAAAAGGACCAUUUUCAAAAAGAUGGAAACCAACAUUACAGAAAGCCCUUCAGACCUGGUUGUCCAGCCUGGAAGGAAAACCAUCUAUCGAGAAAUUAACUUUAAUGGCUAAUGAAUCCUGUGCAGAAGUGCAGAUUACACCAUCCAAAGCUCUAAAAGAAGUUUUAAAAAAUCAGACAACUAAAUUAGUACUUAAAGACAAAGAAGAUAAGGAAGUCACUGCGCAGAUUUGUCUGGACGAUUCACAUUCUGUUACUGUACCGCAAAAAUCCAUGCUGGAGGAUAAUGUUUCAUCACCAAAGGUAUCCUUUUUACUUUGUCUAAAAUUAUGGCAAAGGGCACAACCAUCAAGUAUAUUCAUCAAUUAUGUAAAGUUUUGAUUGCUGAGUUCUCUCUGCAUAUGCAUAAUAAUAAUAAAAAUAAAAUAAAAUAAAAAACCUGCCUGAACAACUCAUACUCAUCUAUGACAUUCUACGUAGCAAUAGUUUUGGUAUUAUAAAUAUAUUAUUUUUAUUUUACUGUGGGUUUUUGAAUCUUUAAAUAUAA
rnacentral:lncRNA from 1 species